AUUGAACGCUGGCGGCAGGCCUAACACAUGCAAGUCGAGCGGAUGAAGGGAGCUUGCUCCUGGAUUCAGCGGCGGACGGGUGAGUAAUGCCUAGGAAUCUGCCUGGUAGUGGGGGAUAACGUCCGGAAACGGGCGCUAAUACCGCAUACGUCCUGAGGGAGAAAGUGGGGGAUCUUCGGACCUCACGCUAUCAGGUGAGCCUAGGUCGGAUUAGCUAGUUGGUGGGGUAAAGGCCUACCAAGGCGACGAUCCGUAACUGGUCUGAGAGGAUGAUCAGUCACACUGGGACUGAGACACGGUCCAGACUCCUACGAGAGGCAGCAGUGGGGAAUAUUGGACAAUGGGCGAAAGCCUGAUCCAGCCAUGCCGCGUGUGUGAAGAAGGUCUUCGGAUUGUAAAGCACUUUAAGUUGGGAGGAAGGGCAGUAAGUUAAUACCUUGCUGUUUUGACGUUACCAACAGAAUAAGCACCGGCUAACUUCGUG
rnacentral:rRNA from 1 species